GUAGCGCAAUCACUUGUCUUUUAAAUGAAGACCCGUAUGAAUGGUGGAACGAGGGCUUAACUGUCUCCCCCUUCGAGUCAAUGAAAUUGAUCUGCCCGUGCAGAAGCGGACAUAAAAAUACAAGACGAGAAGACCCUUUGGAGCUUAAGAUACAAGAUCAACUAUGUCAAGAACCAAAAAGUUAAACUAAAUAGCAACUGAUCCCUAUCUUCGGUUGGGGCGACCGCGGGAGAAAACAAAGCUCCCACGCGGACUGGGGCAACCCCUAGAACCAAGAAAGACAUUUCUAAGUCACAGAAUAUCUGACCAUUAAGAUCCGGCCACACGCCGACCAACGGACCAAGUUACCCUAGGGAUAACAGCGCAAUCCUCUUCCAGAGUCCAUAUCGACAAGAGGGUUUACGACCUCGAUGUUGGAUCAGGACAUCCUAAUGGUGCAGCCGCUAU
rnacentral:rRNA from 1 species